rnacentral:tRNA from 1 species
GGGCUCAUGGUCCAACAGGAAGACCCCGGCCUUGCAAGCCGGUGAUCCGGGUGCGAUUCCCGGUGAGUCCA